UCGGUUCGGUUCGGUUUUAGAUUCAAAAAUUUCGAUUAGACCGAACCGAACCGAAAUCACUAAACUACGUCGUUUUGAAAUGUACCCUUAUAUUUGCCCUAAAUCUAAAAGCCUGAGUCACGCUACCAAUCUCCAUUCCACGCCGCCUCACAUCACAGAUCAAACAUGCCUGUGCCUUUCUCUGAGCAUUGAGCUCCACCACUUCCAGCAGUUCCACAGUCCACCGUCCGACCUCCACUCUCCUCCCGACAUCGACCGAUUAACUGUCGCUGC
rnacentral:lncRNA from 1 species